CGUAGCCUUAGUUGUGUAAUUCCGACAUUCGGUUGUGGGCUGCGGUAGCGGAAAUUCUUGCUAGUUAACGUCAAUUUCCUAUUCAAAUCAAAGAAUACAUAGUAUUAUUUAAGUAUUAAACAGAUUCAUUUAUAAUCUUGGAUUCUUUGAAGUUCGAUUGAAAAAUAUUUACCAAUUUGGUGGCCUACGGUACCUAGUUCAGUCAACUUCAGUGGGAAGAAAGAAACUGUCAUUACUAAUGAGUAAUGACAUUACACAUAUCUAGGGUCUGAAGUGGUCAUUCCUGUUAGUAAAAAAAUGUUUUUUUUUGCACUGGCAAUUGUAAAUAUUUUUUCAUUUCUACGCAUUGAGAGUAUUGUCUUGACUCUUGAGCAAUGAGCAUGACAGCAAAAGGCUCUGGCACUGACACUGAAAUGUUUAUGAUGCAGGUGGGUGAGGGAGCUGCCUGUGUCUAGCUACUCUGCUUCUCUGGUCGGUCAAGCCAACAUGGAGUCUUCGCUGAGCUCGGUGAAGUACAAUGCUGGAGUGGUGAACUCUUUUGAAGCAAUACAAGCUUGACCCAGCAACAAACGUGGAAGCUUCGUCUUAGUGAUGCCAAGCACUACCUGGAUAUGAUCAAAAUAAUGCCGUAAAUCCCAUUUAUCAUUUGCUCGUGUCAUCUGAACUGCGGCAAUACAUGCGCCCAAGAAGUGGGCAUCAAUUUGAUAACCAGUAAAGUGACCAAUUUAGCUACUUACAUCGCCGUUAAUUGAACUGCUCCCAAAAUUAGCAGCUUGCUGCUUACAUCGCCGUUAAUUGAACUGCUCCCAAAAUUAGCAGCUUGCUGCUUACAGUGCCGUUAAUUGAACUGCUCCCAAAAUUAGCAGAUUGCUGCUUACAUCGCCGUUAAUUGAACUACCAAAUGAAGUUUUGCUACGUUUACUAUGA